GCACAUCCUUUGCCUUACCUUUGAAGUACUGUCUUGUGCUGAAACGAUUAGCAGUACUUUACGUCAUAUCACUUGACUAUUUGACAGCCAUUGUGAGUGAGCUAAAUGGGUGAUCAGUAAGUUAGGAUGUUUGCCUUAUAGCCAGAUACUAGAUGGGAACAAGAAAAAUAGCAGAAAAAGGUGUGUUGCUGCAUGUGAUAAUGCAAAGUUUCCUGGAACAUCAAGCAAAAGUGAGCAGCCAGUGAGGCAGGAAACUGUGAGGAGGAGGAAAAGUAAAUAAAAAUUAUCCAC